UUACGGUCAAAUCACGCUGAAAACACCGGUUCUCGUUCGAUCACCGAAGUUAAGCAUCGUAGAGCCAGGUCAGUACUUAGAUGGGGGACCGCUUGGGAACACCUUUUACUGUAAG